AGAAAGAAGAAUCCUGCCCAUAUCCUUCUACAUACAAUUGUUUAAUCAAGGUCAACUUUCACUAACAAACUAUUGAUCUCGAAAGAAAGGUUUCUUUUUGAAGGAUCUGUUUCACACUUCCAAGAAGAAGAAAUGCCAAGAUGAAAUUAGGUCCCUUUGAUCCAAAGAUAUGUUUUGAUUCGUAUUCAAAUUGUGUGCAAAGUGUUAAGACUUAAG